CUUGAAGGUUGGAGACUACAUGAGACUUUGACAGAUGGCGGGAAACCCUUCUCAACUGGUAGAGAAAUGUCUGGGACUUAGCCGAGGGCAACUGGAGAAGGGUUGUUGAUGGCAAAACAGGUUGGAGACUACAUGAGACUUUGACAGAUGGCGGGAAACCCUUCUCAACUGGUACGAAGCCGGUAAAUAGAUGGCCAUAAAACAGUGACCGCUGAUUCGCGUCGAAUUCUUUCUUGCAUAACGUAUGACCCCCCUUUUUUAUUGUUUAAAUCAUUGCGGCUUGGAAUGCUCUUUAAGAAAAGGUAUGGUUAUGGGGAUGUCUAUGCGCAAAAGUUUGACUUUAUUUUUUGUUAAAGUUAUUGCUUUCACAUUGAAUUUGUGUAGGAAAUCUUUUAGUAUAUUGUGACCUG